CAGGGAGCUGCCUUUAGACUCGUUCGGGAUUGAUUGUCCGCCAUUCAUUAUUCAACUCAACAGUUUGUUUUAUAAGGACAGAAAACAUAACCGUCUUGGCUGAGAGUAGCAUACCCUACCCAUCAACGACCCCAUACGACAGAGGAGACCAAAAAUAGGGAAUUUUUGAGAAACGACGAAGUUCUCCUAGUGGACGACAUUCAAUGAAGACACCUCGUAUCAUAGGUUCUCCCCGGCUGAGUAGACUGGUAGUUUAUCCUUUUGGUAACAACAAGGAAGGCAAGAACUAUUCUGUUUAGUACUGAGGUCAGAAGGCAAUUGCAAUUAGAACUAUAGAUGCAACAGGGACACUUGUCUAACGCGAGCAUACUGGAAGGACAGUAUUCACCAUUAAACAAUACAAGGAAAGUCACCCAGAUAAGAGUACGCAAUAUUAAUAAUGAAAAUGAUAGAAUUAAGGUGGAUAUUGAGGUACAUCUAUUUUCUAGUGCUUUGACUUUUCUGUUAGUGAAAGGAAUAGUUAAAAUAUGUUGUAUACUGCAUUUUUAAAAUCAACUUAUGUCUGUUUAAAACGUAGAUGACUCAGAAUAAUUUCCAUUUCAAGAGUGGGAAUAACGAAAUACGGUAUAGAAACCAGUUCUUGACGUGAAGUCUGAAGCUAAUAAUCAAACUAAAAUGCGAAUUGUGUAAGCUGAAAUUUGCAUAUCGUCUUUAGAAAUUCUUCCCAGGUGCAUGUAAUUUGUUAGAUAUGCAAUCUUUAUGGAUUUUAUUUUACUGAAUGCUGUUUAAGAAAGUGCUAAUAUUCUGUCCAUGGACAGGUAUUACAUAUGGGUUUUAUUUUUAAAAUUCUUUCAAAAAUAGUGAUGCGUGUCGUUAUAUUGCAAAUAUUGGACUUUUGCGAGAAGAGCUGACCUUGACAGUCAACGGCUAACUUUGACGGUUAUACCUGUAUAUUGAAGCACGAUUUCGUUAAAUAUAUGUAAUACUGACUUGUUAGUAUUACGUUUUAGAAUAUCUGUACUUCGUUCAUUUAUCUGACAAUUAUUGAAAUAAAAACAAAAGACUAAUCAUUUCAUCUUUGCAUGCAUGAUUAGGUGUCAAAUCUUCACUCGUACAUAUACCUUGAUUCAUGUUGGAACUUUAGAAAAAGUCUUUGCAGUAUGAAAAAUCGAUUGUAAAUUUAUUAUGCAUAAGUCUUGUAUUUUCUUUUAUUAUAAAAGUUGUUAUACAAUUUUAUUCAGUCAAACUCACAGGUACGACACAAAUCAUGCUAAACAUGUCACGAAUUCUGAAUUAUAUAUACACCUGUAUUAGCGACAGACUGACACCUCAACUGUAUGACAAACGGGAUGAUUUCAGCUUCUCCGACCAUCGUCAACUUCCCAUCAUUAUGUAGCAAUAUUCCAUUAUCAGCUUGUUCUGCGUAUGGUCAGUUUUUAAAUUGAGGCAAGCUACUGACAAACAAGUUGAUGGUAAAGGGGUUUCAACAAUCUCGAUUAAAGUCAGCAUUUCGCAAAUUCUAUGGUUGUUAUAAGGAUCUAGUUUGCCAAUACAACCCAUCAUUGGGUCAAAUGCUGUCUGACGUGUUUCAUACUGAUUGUUAAGCCGUUCUUGGCACACUGAUUUUGACUACGGAUAACUCCGUUUACCUGAUCAGGAUAUAGGGCUCACGGCGGGUGUGACCGGUCGACAGGGGAUGCUUACUCCUCCCAGGCACCUGAUUCCACCUCUUUUGUGUCCAGGGGUCCGUGUUUGCCCAACUAUCUAUUUUGUAUUGCUUAUACGAGUUAUGAAUGAUUGAUUGAAUAUUGUUUAACGUCCCUCUUGAGAAUAUUUCACUCUUUUGGAGACGUCACCACUGCCGGUGAAGGGUUGCAAAAUUUAGGCCAAUGCUCGUCGCUUAUGGCCAUUGAGCAGGGAGGGGUCUUAAUCGUGUCACACCUGCUGUGACACGGGACCUCGGGUUUUGCGGUAAAAUACGCUCUUGAUCGAGUAUUGAAAUGUAAUACUAAUACGUUAUGAUACCCUAGUGUGGCCAAUCCGUUUUUAAUACUGAUAUGUAAAAACAAAACUUGGUGGGGAUGGAGACCAAACUAAUGAAAGCCGUCAAUUUUAACAGGUUUUUACCCUACCCCCUAGACCCUGGGGUGCAGAAGUCCUGAAAUUUAUAAUUUAUACCCUCCUUGUCCCAAAGCUACUUCAUACCAAACUUGAAAAGAAUUGAAAUGGUACCGGUAGUAAAAUGUUCAAUUGUUAACGCAUAACGACGGACGCUGAGCAACUGCAAUAGGUCACCUGUGUGACUCAGGUGACCUGUAUUUGUUGGGACAUUAUUUCAUAUAGACUGUUUUAGAAAGAGUACGGGUAUGAAAAUGAGCCAGGCUUUGAAUUAACUGGCUACCGAUCAUGCCUACGUUCAGAAACGAAGUAUUUUCAAGCUGUGGGGUUUCGCUUCAGAUGAAGCUUUAAUCAAUGCUUAAAGAUGUUUGGACACAAGUUUAUAUGGGAGUAUGCUAGAAUUUUUUUAUAUUUAAUUUUUGAGACGGCAAUGCAAGAAUACAGCGAUUUGCGGCUUCAGGUGUGAGAUUUUUGUGCGCUGUAAAUCGAAGGUUUUAUGAGUUGUGGAUCUGUAGCUCUUUGGUCUGCCGCAGUAUAUUCUUAGAGAGUUAUGUUUUAGUUGCUAACGCAUAGAUCAUGGUUUAGUCAAUUGAGUGAAUUUUAGUGACUUUAUUGAUACUACUGUCGCCCUUCUCGUAAAAGUUCAAUAUUGAAUACUGUGUCACCAAUAUUCAUUCUCAUCUGUAUUCAGAAUAUCCUUCUAAGGAAGCUCAGUUGAUCCGACACUGCAGGCCAUGUAUAUCCACUAUUGUUUAGGUCUAAAAAUAUCCAUUCCUCAUCAGACUUACCAUGAGAGGAAUAAAUGAUUGUCUUUAUGAACCUAGUUGGACUGCAUGUGUUAGUCUAAAAGUUUCAUCAAGUCCAAUGAAACUCGAAUGAUUAAUAUCAACAUUUACAAAAUGCUAACAUUGAUUUUGUAUAAAUGAUUUCGAAAUUUCAAGAAGACCACACGAUAUUUUGUACUUAUGCUUUCCAGAACUGUCUGCAGUUCGACGAGGAAUGCUAUUUAAAUGACAAGGAAGAUAGGUCAGUCUCAAACAUGGUUUUCCUCCAGGACAAGAAUGAUAGCGUAGACGAUAAAGCAUCCGCUUUGAGAUUGUAAGGAACUGGAUGUGAAAGAGGGAAGACUCUCAAUGUAGAUUAUGGUUAAGAUUUGGUUCCCAUCAAUAUACAUGUAACAGAAAAUUGUAUUGAUAUAAACUUAAGUUUAAAUUGGUUCUCAGAUAAGGUAAUCCCAUUUUUGUCAAUCUUUGCUCCCUUAAGGAAUGAUUAGAUAAAAGUUUGUGUUUUUUUAAUCGUGUUAAUCUAGGAGUAAGAAGUCAACAUCAAAGUUGACCUCUCGAAAUUUUCCUCAUUACCUCUAUUCCCAAAAUCCCGUGGGGAUCUGGUUUAGAAUAGUUGCUCAGUACCCCUUGCAUGUUGUAAGAGGCGACUAAAUGGGUCAGUCCUUUGGAUGAAACCGCAAAAACUGAGGUCCCGUGUUACAGCAGGUGUGGCACAACAAAAAUCAUUCCCUGCCGUAAGCACCGAUCAUGGGCCUAAAUUUUGCAGCCCAUCACCGUGAAUGGGGACAUCUCUCUCUCUCUCUCUCUCUCUCUCUCUAUAUAUAUAUAUAUAUAUAUGUGUAUGUGUAUACACACACACACACACACACACACACACACACACACACACACACACAGAUUUUGGAUUUUGACUACUUUAUUAGUUGAGGGAAUUUUGGUGAUUUUUUUUUGCUUCUGUGGAAGGGUGUUUUAAACCAUUGCAUCUAUUUCGCAAAGCCGUCUUCGUGGUCGUUUCUUCCUCUUCGUUUGAAACGAUUUGUCAUGUGUUAAUCCAUAUAAUUUCAUCUUCAGUUCUAGUUGCUGAAAAGAUAUCUAAUGCAAAACCAAAAAAAAAAAAAAUAAAAUAAUAA